UUAAUCUUUUAUGACUCUGCGCCUCUCCCAUUCAUUUCUAUAUUGUGCUGGUCUUUAAUUAAUUCACACAUUUUAAGGUUUGGCAGAUGCUCAUCGUUAUUGGUAUUGCUGUUUUUGUCUGUUUAAAUGUCUGUUUUGUCUGGUUGAAGGUGGAUUCAAUGCAGUAUGUGCAUUGGCGCUUCUACUUCGAUCUGCCGCGUGAGCAGUUAUUCCCAUUAAUAGUUCUGCUACUAAGAUAGUUCCUUCAAAGCCUCAGCUUUGUGCAAUACUUUGGUCAUUCAGGGUUGGAUAUUCUUUGGUGCUUCUCUUUUUUACCUCCUAUUCUUUGGCCUUUUCAGAAGGGCACUUGUUAAGAUAUUUGGUCAUUCAUUUGAUAUUUUAUUGAUGAGUGUAUAUAUUCUGGCACCACCAUUUGAUCUCAUGCAAUGUGUUUGCAGUUGCAUCCUAACUUGUCUUCACUUUGUCAGAGCCUAGAUCUCUUUUAAGAGGUGGUUUUAUGUUUCUUUGCUUGUGAUUUAGUUCUCUGUAGACCAUAAAUGUGGCAUUUUUGAGCAAAUGUAUUAUGCAAAUUCAUUAAGCAUCUUUUUUACUUGAUUACAUAUGAAUGGAAUGGGUAUUCAAGCAAACCAACGGAAUCAUGGAUUUGGGCAUGUGUGACAGUCAAAGAGGAAUGGGAGUUGCCUUUGUAGAGUGUACGUCUUUCCUUUUGGUCUUGUCUUCAUUGGAAUGUGGACUGCUUAUAGUAGUGUCCUGUUUUUUCUUGGCUUACCAUUCUUCUUGGAUAUUGGGUCUGUAUAUUGUCAGCUUGCUUGUGAGGCUCGGUUGAAUGGGGGAUGCUGUUGGUACUUCUUGGCUUAUGAUUUAUUUUUGUUAGAUUUUAUCAGAUAUGAUUUGCGCAAAAAGUUUUGUGCAGCAACGUUUGUCUUUUAACGGAGUCCUAGGGUUUAAGGAGGAGUGGGAAUGUGGUAUGCAGAUUGAUGUCUUUGGAUGCAGUGAAGUAUCAUUGGACCGUAGAGCAGCACUUGCUGACACAUAAACUGAGUAUGACUUUGAUCUUCAUUGAUGGAACUGUUCUUUGAGGGGUUGUGAGAUUUGAUUUUGUCGUUUACAUAGUAUCUUAUUUCCAAUUUGUGUCGAAGUUUUAUUCAUUAAUCUCUUUUUAGCCGAGGUUUACUCAUCUUCAGGUUGACGGGAUUGAUUUGUCAGCUAAAAUGGAUCGGAUGACUUGCUUUCAUUGUCUUUGGAUUUCAGCGUUUAGAUCUUAACUAGCUUAUCUUCCUAUGUCUUGCUCAAUUUUUCCAGAAUAUGGGCUGAGGGUUGAUUCUUCCUUUAAUUUAAUUGCUUCUCUCAAAAUCUCUUUUCAUAUAUAUAAAUUUUUCUCUUGUACAGGUGCUAAUAUUCAUAUGUACCUUUUUGGAUUUUAUAGCGUUGGAGGUGGUGGUUUGUGGUCUGCUAAAGGGUUUGGCCUUUGUCUUAAACAUAGUGACCUGCUGGCAUCCUUUUGUUCAAGUGCCUGGUUUGCUUUUGCUGUUGCUUUUGUUGUGGCAUAUUACUUUUUUUUCUUUCUGGCAGGCUAAAGUUGCUUAAGUUUGUGAUGGAUCAGUAUGUUGGAUACUUGAAAUUUCUGGGCAGAGUAGUCCAUUGUAGAAGGUUGGGUGUUUUUGCUUGAAGAGUGCUCAUCCGUUUAGGUUACACAUGGGGUUGUUUGACAAGUAAACAAUCUGGCAUAAUUAUAUGGGUCGUGUUUUAUGCAGAAGCAGUCUCAUUCUUUGAGGGCUUCGUCUCAGAUUCAAGUUUAUGCACAGAGCUGAUAGAACUGUUUUUUUAAACUGCUGAUGGAAAUAGAUGUGUUAGUUAGGUUUUAAGGGAUGUAGCUCAAAAUGGUAGAGCCUCUCAGCUUGUAACCUUAUGAACAAGUUACAAGACUUACGAGGAGAUCAAGGUUCAAAUCCUUGCGUCCCUGCACAUUAACAUAUUUGAUAGUUUAUGAACUGCCUGUGUAUGGAUUGAAAGAAUCUAAACCCUUGCCUGUGUAUCUGUGGUUGCUGUUGAUGUGCAGAUGCUGUUGGUAGCUGACUAAAAUGGUGGUUUGGAUGAUCUGUGGACUUGAGAACCUCAAUUGGCUGAUUUUCCGGUUUACCACAAGAUGUGGUUUAUUAUGUAAAAGCUUCAGAAAGCUCAAGUUUGUAAUACCAAUUAUGUUAAUCUUCAAACUUGUUUGACGAGAUA